rnacentral:lncRNA from 1 species
CAACAUAGCCCGCGUCGUUCAACCUCAAUUAUUCCGUUUAUUUGGACACCUUCAAGUUUUUCUAUCGUUCAGACGCCUCACGAAAGCUGGCCAUUUUUACACGACAAAGGCCCAUAUUUUCUUGGAACCUCAGCAUAGCGCCACUCCCCAAACCAAGAGGCGUGCACAGUCGUGUUUACCGUCGUCGAUCUAAACGUUUUCGACCGUCGUAUGUUUUGACGAGUCCUUGCAUCGUUGGAUUGAAGCGGAUUGAUUAUUCUCGAAAUAAUUACGAUCACAACAGCACCGCAAGAUGGCGGACGGUAAAGAAAGCUCAGAAGACGAAACCGACGAGAGUUGAUUGACAUUUAAACGUGUACGAAGCGUCGUUGUCAGAUAAUAAGCGAAAAGUUAAAAAGCUGCAGGAUAUGAGAGAUGAAAAUCGACUGGAAGAUUUAUCGUUUUAGCUCGUACCUCAGCCACUUGGCGAGAAUAAAAAGGCCGAAGAAAUGGAGAAUAGAAGAAUGAAAAAAAUGGAAAAAAAUCGUCUCUCUUUCUCGUGCUGCUGGCAUUAAUGGGGCACACGCAUUUCUGCAUUGGUAUAUAAGGCUGGAUUUCUUUUCGCGGCUACAUAAGUGAUUCCCGGAAUUACAUCCUACAUCACCGCAAGCCCAACGUGUACAUAAGAAGUGAUCGUCAGCGGAGUCGGGACCUUCCGCCUCAGAAUGCAGUUCGAAUAUCCCCAGGACGAUUAAAACUUGAUGAAAACUCGUUGAAUUUCAUCACGAAGGAUAAUUUCUCAAGGCUUCUUAAAAAAUUCGAGGGAAUUACCUCAAGCCCUCUUUGCGUAUGUCGCUCGUGAAGAAACACACGUGGCUGGUCACGUGGUUAGAUUUUCAUUCAUGAAAACGUGCGCGAAGUUACAGCGAGGAUAGUAACGCAACGUUCGAACGAGAGGAGGCUAUGAGGCAGAAGCUCUUUGCGCGUAACACGUGACGGUGUUGGCUGAUGGUUAUCGUCACGGUAUGUACAUAUACCUGGCCGUAUAUGUAUACACACAUGGAGGAAAAGAGAGCGAGAGAGAGAGAUUUGUUGUAAAAGUCGAUAGGGGUAAUGGUCGAGUCCCCGCUACAGCAGUAGCGUAGUAUCUUGUCUGGCGUAGCAGCAUUAUAGUCGUGGCGAAAGAGGCACCGAAAGAGAGAGAGAGAAAAUCGAGCAGUAUUACAGCGAGAAAAGAGCCAGAGGGUAUACGAGCACAGUAGACCACGAGAGGAUCGACGAUGUACAAGAGUAGAGGUACUCAUCACUGGGCUAGUUGGAGUUGUAAGGAGGCAUAUUUUGACCGGAAGAAACUUUGAAUGAGUGGGUCGUUGGGUCAACGAGAGCAGGGCUUUUAUUCCCACUCCAGGAGCACGAGAGCAGUAGCAGCACGGUUCUAUAGCGAUGGAGACGUGGUCCGUCGCGGUCCAUGGUGUGGAACAGCCGGUACGGAAGGAUCGCCGGAACGGUGGUAGCGUACAGCAGGAAGAGCACGAGCCAAUAAAGGAUGGGAUCCGUGAAAGGAGCAAAAGGAGGAAGCGGGAGGGAGAGAAAGAGUGAGAAAAGGCGAGGAGAACGAGAGUGAGCGUAAGAGAGGUAAAAUCCUCGGCGUGCUGCCGAACGUUUCAGCGCAGCGAAGGCGCGCUCCGCUCGAGUGGAGUUGUCGAGUAGCGUGUUAUGUGGCGUGGCGAGCUAUCCGACGGCGGCAACGUCGACGAUAGAAGUUUAACGCGAGGAGGGAUUUUGCCCCGAGCCGAGAGCGAAAUUCACUCUCUCUCUCUCUCUCGCUCUCCUCUCGCAUGCACACUCUACAAGUGCGGCCAAUGGAGUACGAGAGUGUGAGACAGAGAAAAAGGACAACGAGUUACAAGAGUGGAAAAAGACACGAAGCCGGAUCGUCGAGGGUCAGGGCGUGAUAUCUGAAUUCCUUUUCAUUCUCUCUCACUCUCACCCAAAAACACUCUCCAUUCCUGACCUCGCUUCUGACACGACAUUUUUCACGCCGAUUCAGCAGUAGCUUCCACCAUUUUUUAUGAAAUUGAGUUCCGCUGUUAUACACGAUGUUGUCAGCCAAAUUUACUUUUGUUCAUGGAGAAAUAUCGAACUGGAUAAUUUUGGAGAAUCUUUUCAUCGAAAACUAUUGGCUAAAGCCUCGGUGAUUAUUUUUCGUUGCAAAAAAUGUCGAAGCUGAAGAUGUAGAAAUUCUGUUUCAUUUCUCCAGAAGCAAAAGUUCAUUGACUCUUUUUUUUCUUACAUUUUUUUAUAUUAACAUAAAGAUCUGAAAAGAU